UACGAAGGGGGCUAGCGUUGCUCGGAAUCACUGGGCGUAAAGGGUGCGUAGGCGGGUCUUUAAGUCAGGGGUGAAAUCCUGGAGCUCAACUCCAGAACUGCCUUUGAUACUGAAGAUCUUGAGUUCGGGAGAGGUGAGUGGAACUGCGAGUGUAGAGGUGAAAUUCGUAGAUAUUCGGAGGAACACCAGUGGCGAAGGCGACUCACUGGACAUGUAUUGACGCUGAGGUGCGAAAGCGUGGGGAGCAAACAGG
rnacentral:rRNA from 1 species